AGCUUUUGCACAACAAACCUAUAAAAAUAUUAAUAUCCAAGAUGACAUAUUAAAACAUAGAAGAUAAGGCCUUUACAGCUUAAGAAAAUAAACAAGAAUUAAUCUUCGGUACAAAGGAUGCAUAUCAUCAGUUUGCACUUACAUUUAAAGUAGUCUGACAGCAAGAACAAUGAGGAGGACAUCAUCUCACGGUACUCAGAUCCAAUCAUUCACCACCAGCAGGUGACUCGGUGAGUUCCCUCAUAGCCUCCUCCACUGGGCCAAACUACAACACCUCUGCCAUGGUUUUCUAGCCGUCGGCCAUGUCAUCUUGGUCAAAACCCUUGAGAACGCUCCGCCGAACUCCAUGAGGUCAUCUAGGAUCUAGAUCCUUGAGAACGCGAUGAACGCGUUCGCGCACUCCGCACAACGGCAAACUGCGCCAGACGAAGAGAAGUUGGAAGAAAUGAAUGGAGAAGUGCAGUCGUGAUGGUUUGGGAAUUAGUCCGCUGAUGGCAAGCGACGAGAUCUUCAUCAGCCAGAUAAUGGAGAGGUGGUGCAGGCGGAUGGAUAAGGUUGCUGGUGGG
rnacentral:lncRNA from 1 species